UUGUGUUGGGAUUUAUGUUGGUUUUUGUUUUAUUAUUAAACAAAACAUAAUAAUGCGGCAAAAUCGAAUUGCAAGGAGUGCAAUUAAUUGACAGACGUGUUUUUUCCUCGUCUCUGUUUGUUUGACCCAACAGCUAGAUCUCUAGAUGACGUCAUCGGCAGUCUACAUGCAAAAUGAGAUGGCUCCAGAGUGGACGUGGACUGAUAUUUUAUGGCUUCAGGAGCGGCAUCCAAUAUUACGCUUAAACAGAGAGACGGGCAAGCAGACAGUAUAUGUAAAAACCAAGUAUGCCCUAUGUGAACUGGGGAUAAAAAUACACCACAUAUUCAAUCAUCAGUACAGACGUAUGUAUACAUAUACAUACAUAUAUGCAGAUAUCGCCACAAGAGGACACGAAGCUUCUGGAAAAGUAUGCACAGUUCGAGCAUCUUUCAUUUUAUUUUUAGCCAUUUACACCUCCGCUCCCACCGCAUACUUAUGUAUAUAAAUAAAUUGGAACCACCCAAAAAUGUAAGCCACAAUUUUUAUGCAAUUGCGAUUAUUGUAUAGCACAAUUAUAUAUACACCUAAAAAUCGGUUAAGCAAUACAGAAGUUAUUUAAGAAAACGUAUCUU